rnacentral:misc_RNA from 1 species
AGCCAGCUGUGAACGUCCCAGAACACCUCCACAGGCAAGCCGUCGACGAGAAUCGUCUGGUUUCCCCUGAACUUCCACGCCAGGCGCUUCACCUGCAUCACGGGCUUCUUGUCAACUCUUAUUUCAAGACACGGAUCCUUCAGGUCGACGGUGUCGCAGUCUAUGACAAUGUCAUGGAACUGGCCAUUGUCGCAGAACUGCGCCUUGGCGGAGUAGGUCUUCUUGCCGUAUAUGUGCUCCCUCCUCGCCACAAACGCGGCGUUCAGCAUCGACCGGUUGGCUCCAGUCUUCCUGUAGGCAUCCUUCUUCAUGUCGCCGAGCAAGAGCACGAGCUCAAGGUCGAACACCACUGCGACAUAGAACCCCUCCACCGGCUCUGGCCCAGCGCCGAACUUGGCGCCCGACAGGUCCCAGAAGAUGUCGAUCUUGCCGUCCUCGACGUCGAGGCUCUUGGACCCCUUCUUCUUGGAGAAGAGCCACGGCUUGAUGUCCGCCUUGCAGAGGCAGUGGCCGGACAGGUCGUCGACGCCGACGCUGAGGCCCUGCCCCAUGAGGCUCCUGCUCCACGUGAGCGAGAUCACGCAGGGCCGGCCCGAGAACUGCGUCUGGUAGAGGCAGGUCACCAGGUUCUGCGCCGCGCCCUUGCCGGCGCUGGACGACGACGACGACGCGUCCGCGAUCUGGACGCCGCUCUCGCCGAAGCAGGAAGGGAAGUCCCUCAUGGCUGGCUGGCCCGGUCGGGGUCCUUCGUCGAACACCUGGCGUGCAGCCGCCCGCCCGCCCGCCGCUUGGAUCAGCACCUCUCCUCCGCACUCCUCACCGCAAGCAAUCCACACCGCCCGGCGAGCCCGCCUCGCAAUGCCGGCGAAGAGAUGAACAGCCACGCACAGAUCGGCCACGCAGGUACGCAGGCCACCGCCGGAGGUUGCUCGAUCCAGCAACGCCGCCGCCGCCGCCGCCGGACGCGAGAUCCCACCUCUUACUGCGAAAGGCAGCACCGACAACCGCCCGAAAAUCGAGGGGCAGAGGAGGGAUUGGCGUCGGAGCAAGAUUCCUUCACGGCCCCGCCCCGCCCCUUUCCACCGCGUAGGCCACCUUCUUGGCCGCGAAACCGCGGCGACGGAGCAAUCUUCCCUCCGCCGGGACUCCGUCCGUCGACGGAUCAGCCUUCCACCUUUAUACCACAGCAGCGGCAGCGGCGAAACAGAAGGUUUCCCCCAGGCGGCAGGCUAAGGCUAAGGCUUCCGCUUCAAGGCAGGAGAAGCAUGCAAUUACCGUAGAUGUAUGCUUGCACACCCAUGGCCAAAGGGGA